GCACUGCUGAAGAGACACAGCCAAGUCGAAACAGCUGUCCAGUGC
rfam:Echinostoma caproni strain Egypt genome assembly, scaffold: ECPE_scaffold0000865